AGAUGGCGACCGGCGCACGGGUGAGUAACACGUAUCCAACCUGCCGAUAACUCGGGGAUAGCCUUUCGAAAGAAAGAUUAAUACCCGAUGGCAUAAUUAGACCGCAUGGUCUUAUUAUUAAAGAAUUUCGGUUAUCGAUGGGGAUGCGUUCCAUAGGCAGUUGGUGAGGUAACGGCUCACCAAACCUUCGAUGGAUAGGGGUUCUGAGAGGAAGGUCCCCCACAUUGGAACUGAGACACGGUCCAA
rnacentral:rRNA from 1 species